GGUGCAUUAAGCUUCACUCAGAGAGAAACAAUGCAUUUUAUCAUAGGGCCAGACAGCUACAUGCACAAGAUGCUACCUGCAGAGAGUGGCUUCUGCCCAGAUGUGCAGGAGAGAUGCACAGAGAGGAAGAAAUGCAUACGUGUGUGCAGGUUUUGGCAUGUGCACAAGAAGCCUGGAAGGAUUUUCUUUGGAUCUACAGUCAAAAUGGAUUUCCAAGAGGAAGCGGUCUGAACACACGCCUCUUCCCUGUGCUACAUUCGGUCCCAUCUCCGCCAGCCAGGUUUUCAGGAAAGUGAUCAGCACUGGCUUCAGCUCUGGCUAGAGCUCUUUGGCCAAUGGGAUGGGCAGAAAACUGGAAUGAGGACAGAAAAGCACCUCAGAGGUUUGGAGAGUCGAGUCUCUCACCACCUUGCUGUAGGUUUUCCGAAUACUUCUGAGUGUAGGAGCAUUUUUUCUCAACAGGCAAGUCAGGAGCUGCUAAGAUAAACCAUGUCAGUAAGCUCGAGCCAGGGUUAGUAUUUACCAUUAAUCGGCCACCAAGUGCUUGCUAUGUGCCACGCAUUGUGCUAAGCACUAUCUCAUUUAAUAUUUACAGCAGUCUUAUGAGGUAGAUGCUACUGUUAUCUCCAUUUUACAGAUGGGGAAACUGAGGCACAGAGUUCCACAGCUGGUAACUUGCAGAAUAGGAAUUCAGCCACUGGAGAGUCUGGCUGUAGUUUUUUUGUGGCAGGAGAAAAUAUGCUGUCUAAAUUUGCCUUGGGAAACCAUGAUGUUGGUUACAAAACCACUUCUACGGCUUGCCUUGACCUAGCAGGAAUGAAGACAUAAAGAAAGAAUGAGUGCAUCGUGGCUAUGAUGGGAUGAUGAUGUCUGUUAUGUUGUUUGGUGUCAGUUUCUGUAACUCCUUUCUAUUUCAAUCAAGGCUAUUAUCUUUCCCUCUCUUUUAGUGAAGUUUCCUAGAUGUAGAAAAUGGGAGUGUAUUGGGUAUCUCAGGGUUUUCAGCUGAACUGAAGGGUCUGAUGGUAACUUUACCCCCAAAUCCCUGAGAGAAAAGUAGGGAGUCUCUGCUUCAGCUCUGCUCAGAAGAGCUCCCCACACAUGGCGGUUUCUGUGUCACUAGACUGGUUAGGUUAACCAAAUGGGUCUUCUAAAUACCCAACUUUUAAUAGAAAACUUCUGUGGCUUGGGUUAUUAAAGUCAUAACAUGCUUAUUUAAUCGCAUUUUAAGUCCAUCUAUCUUUUUUGAGUCUAAGGAAGACUCACUUGGUCAGAAGGAGUAGAGGGAAGAGGUUUAAUACAUGAUUUUCUCUUUUUCCCCUUUUUCUUUUAACUUAGCCUGAGACUUAUUUGAAUGCCUGUUUCAUAUUGAGCUUUUAAGUAUAACAUUUGUGAGUGAAAUUGCCCCUUUUAUUUUCAAGGUAAUUGAAUUCCAUUUUUCACUUUCCAUUUCCCUCUAGAAAAAUCAAAACGUUUUCAGAGCUUGACUUCUUAGUGGGUGAUUUUCUAAGGUGGGAACUUCAGAAUCAUAAAACAUUCUAGUGCGGCAAAGGCAUUCAGGAACCGGAUGGCCAGUCCCCUCCUCCACAGAUGAACAGCCUCCACCAGACAGUCUUGGAGAACAUAUUGAUUUCACUGUGUUUUUAGUUGAAACACCAAAGGAAUGCCCAUGUCUUGUCCUUGGGCUAGGGCUGUGGGUUAGGGGAGCUGGAUUUCUGUCCAGAAUCUUGUCUUCUGUAGGGCAGCUGAGGGGCAUUAUUACUCAGAGGUCCCCGGAACCCUGUGCUAAAUUGGUUUGGAUCAGUAUCCCUGAAAGUGUUGGACAAAGGAGAGUCGAUUUUAACUGACACCUGGACACGACUUUAAAUAACACUGUAUCACAGAGUGACACAAUGAUUGUCUUUCCAACUCCUUUUCGGUCUUUCCGAUCGUAUCAGGGACAAAGUCUCAGUCUGGUGCUGUUGUGUCGAACUACCUUCUCAUCUCUGUUUUUUAAAGACAGACAGAUCAAGCCUUACUCUUAGGGCUUUAGAAGGUAAUAGUUUCCGAUUUGGAUUUCAUCACAUUGUUUUAUUUCUUUUUUAACAUUUUUAUGACAACUUUUACUUUAUAGUAGUUUUAAAGGUAGGAUAAAAUUUUGAUUUGAAAACAAGUUGGUUUGAGAUUUUUUUCACUUUUACAUAAAAGACCCACCUUCACAGCAUAUGAGCCUCUAAAGUUGGGGAAGCAGUGGCUUAGGUGGUCAGGCAGGAAAUUCAAGGAGGUUGGUUUCUGCCAAAGUCAGAGAUGAUUGCCACUUACCGGAAGGCUGUGUUGGAACAGAGUGGGCACAGGUAUUGGGAGCAGAGCUGAUUUCCCAUCCUCCCGCUGCCCUCACUGACCGUGUGUGUCCUGACCUUCUUGAGCUUUGGUUUUCUCACCUAUGGAACGGGUUUCAUGAGUAGUUGGAAGAGAGCAAAUGAGCUUCAUUUUCUACAACAGGGUGGGUGGCGUGAUUGAUAUUCAUCCCAAAGCUGCAGGCUCCCCACUUCUGUUUUUUUUAUUGCCAGGGCUCCAAGUUUGCUUCUGGGUGGAAGGGAAGAUGGACUAGAGCUGAUACCCCCUGCACCCUGGUGAAGAAAUGCACCCUGAGGCCAGAAAAUAGUAUAAACCCAUCUGGCUGCAACAUCCCAGCAGCUUGAAGAGCAAAGUCACGUAGUAGAGCCAAAGAGAAAUUUGCCCUGGGCCUGAUAUUCAUGAAGGCUUUCCAAUUCAGACUCGAUAUCAUUGCCAAGUCAGUGUGUUUGGGAGAAAUCAGAAGCCAACACACUAGAAAAGUUGCAGGAGAUUCCUAGGAGAACCCACAAAGUCAGUUCCUUGCCGGAAACCUGUUCAUCCUCCAGAUGAAUCCAGUGCAUUGGAUGGGCUCAGAUGCACAGGUGACGCAGGCAGACCCCCUACUGAAAAGAACAACAGGGGAAGGCAGAUGAAACUCAGAUUGUGGAGUCCGAGAGCCAUGUGGGCCCACUCCAGUUACCUCUACCCCUGGUCCGUGACCAGAGAAUCCUUCAGCAGCAACAGCAGGGAUGUUUAUUUCACUGGUAUGUAUAAAGCGACAGAUUGAAAACAAUUUGCAUGCCCAACAAGUUGGAACUGGAUAAAUGAUUUUUGGUUCAGUCACACAGUGGAAUAUCAUGCGGCCAUUACGAAUAAAUAAAAAAUCCUAUACUUUCCAUAUUCAACUUUAAACUGAAAAUAACUCAACAAACACCUUCAUAAUUAGGCUCCCUGAGAUUGGAACAUGAAGUGAAGUCCACGUGUGUCAGAAUGUUAACAACACCUAACUCUUGGUUGUGAUAUUCUGAGUAACUUGUAUUAUUUUUCAGUAUUUUUCCCCAUUCCUAACGUACAAAUGUACUAUUUUUACUGUAAAAAAUACACAUUUGUGAAGAGCAAUAACAUAAAUCUCUGCACAGGCAGAUUGGAAGGACAUCAGACAAAAUGAUACCUUUUGGUAGUGAAAUUAUAAAUCACUUUUUUCUUCAUUAGAGUUUCUGAAUGUUCUGCAUUUGAUAUGUUUACCUUUAUAAAGGGUCAAUCAUAUGUAAGACGAUUUUUUAAAAGACAAGUAGACAGGGAAAGAGAGGUCUGCUGUUGCAAAACCAAAGCUGGGGGCUCUCCAAAGCCCACUUAUGUCAGUCAGUUGAUAUUUCAUGAACCUCUAGAAUGUACAAAUCACUUUCCACUGGGAUUGGGGGGAUGAGAAAUACAGAGAUGAAGGAGAUGCAAACACUUUAAUCAAAGAAAUCACAGUCCAGUUGGGAAGAGAAGGUUCUGCAUUAUAUAAGUAGCAAGGUCUUAUCUGAGAGGUUAGUCUGUCAAGAGUAAUAGCAAUAAUUACACAACAAUAUGUCAGAGUGGCUGGGAGCUCCAGCUUCAAAGCUACCUCGCCUGGGGGGAAACUCAUUUCCAUUUCUUAACCAUAUUGGGCCUGAGCCUCAGUUACCCACCUCUUCUGUAAAUGUAAACUACCUCUUGGGGUCGUUGUGAGGAUUAAAUGAAGCUUGAGCCUAAAGGGGUUGAGCUAGGUGCUUUGCAAAUAGUCCAACCUCAGCAUGAGGCACGUUAUCGUCGUUAUGGCUGUGGUGUUUGUGGUCACCUGUCUGCAAGUCGCGCUUUCACAGAUAUGCCAGAGCUGGGAUUGGAAACCACAUUAAUCUAAUUCCAAAGCCAAUGAUUCUACCACAACCAGACACUGCAUUUACUCUCUCUGCCUAACUGAAAUUUGUUCUAAACCUCACCCUAAGGUCUUGCCAGAAAGAAAAGCUAAAUUUUCAUUAAAAGAUGAAAGGAGAAAUGAAUCUGUUCCAAAGGACACGAGAAGAAGAAGAAAAUAUCCCUUCUUGUAGGAUUUUGCAACUUUGUCCAAACUUCUGCAGUGUGUAAAAGCAAAAAAUCCUAUGCUUUCCAUGGUCAACGUUAGAUUUAAAACAACCAAAAAGCGCCUUCGCAAUUAGGCUUCCUCAGAUUGGAACGUGAAGUCAAGCCAGUAUGUACCUCUUACUGCAGAUUUCUGCACUGGGAAUGUGACAGGAUUUGCCUCCUUACACAGAGGGUGCUGGUUCUUCCUGGCUGGAGGGUAGAAGGUCAUGAACAGAGGACAAAGCGCAGGGAAGCGGCAGCAUGUGGGGAAGAGCCCCAAGGAUCUCAGUAUGAAAACCAAGAGGUGUGAGCCAACUGCCCAGGGUUUGGGCUAAAAGUCUGGGGAAACUGAUUCACAACCAAUGGAGGCCCAAACAGAGGGAAAAUUCUGUUUACGGACUUCCAUAUCAUUCAGAAAUGUUACCUCUUUGAAAAGAGUUAAUAUAUUUUUUCUUUUUUAAAAAUUUCAAUAGAUUAUGGGGGACAGGUGGUGUUUGGUUCCAUGAAUAAGUUCUUCAGUGGUGAUUUCUGAGACUUUGCUGCACCCAUCACCUGAGCAGUGUACACUCUACCCAUUGUGUAGUGUUUUAUCUUUCAUUCCCCUCCCACUUAGAAUCAUGGUCUCCAAUUCCACCCAGGGUUGCUGCAAAGGCCAUUAUUUCAUUGCCUUUUGUGGCUGAGAUGUAUUCCAUGGUGUAUAUAUAUAUAUAUGCCACAAUUUCUUUACCCACUCAUUGAUUGAUGGGUAUGCCGGCUCGUUCCACACUUUUCCAAUUGCGAAUUGUGCUGCUCUAAACAUCCAUGUGCAAGUAUCUUUUUCGUAUGAUCAUGCAUUUUCCUCUGAGUGGAUACCCAGUAGUGGGAUUGCUGGAUCAAAUGAGAGUUCUACUUUUAGUUCUUUAAGGAAUCUCCACACUGUUUUCCAUAGUGGUUGUACUAGUUUACAUUCCCACCAGCAGUGUAAAAGUGUUUCUCCCUGUCCCUUUGGUCAUCUGUCUUUUUAAAGGAUCAACCUAAACUCAACCAUAACCCAUCCCAUACCACCUCAUCCUGCCUCAAGCUAGGAAAUAGGAGUACAGAGAAGAAAACAGUGCAGAUAAGAGUGCUAGAAGGUUGUGUGUUUGAACAAGAAGGAACACAGGUAAAUGGAUCAGGUUGCAAGUACAGCACCUGAGGCAGGUAUGAGGUAGUAGCUAAUGGGGUGAGGCAGAAAGAAAAGGCUUCCAAAAAAGCAGAUACUUGAGUUGGGUCUUCAAGGCCAUAGUCAGUGGUUUCCCAGUGGAUCUGAGAAAGGAAGGUGAAUUUAGGGAGAGGAAAGAACCCGCAGAGAGGCAUGAGAAUGCACAUUGUGCAUUCAGCGAGCUUGGUGGGUGGCAACACCUGGAUCUCAAGUGUGUGUAGAGGAGACUUGGCACAAUAAGGCCACUAGGCAGGUGGGAUGGCCCCCAGAGGGUCUUGGCUGAGUAGCUGAGGGACAUGCUGUAAGGGUAAGGGCCAGGGGAAGAGAUGAACUCUGACUGGCUCCCUGGCAGUGGGUCCCCUGUGUGGUCAGCAGUUCAUGGGUCACAGAGAAUAACAGGCCCGUAUCUCCAUAUUGCCCAACAUGUUAUUGUGUUAUCACGUCUUCAGUUUGGAGAGAAGAAUUAAAUUCGUCUAAGUUUAUCACUUACCAGAUGACUUUGGAUAAGCACAUAUUCAGAACCUCAGAUAAUUCAUCCAUUCAUUUGCUCAUUCAGAACAGUUCUUGUGCAUCACUUUAUAUUCAGUGCUGCUGAAAUUUCUUUGGGGGCUACACAAGUCACUGAGGCUCGGUUUUCAUCUCAGGAACCUUAUAGCCAGAACAAGGGAGAGGUGAGUACUAACUCCAUGGUGUUGUCCCAACGACUUCGCUACUCGUUUCCCUUACCACCACCCCUUCAAACACUUCAGUGGACUUUCAUCUCUCAAGAAAAAUGCAGACUUUCAUCUGGGCCUAAGAAUCUCUAUAUGCACUACCCCUGCUCACCUCCGGGGAAGCAUCCCCUUCCAUCCCCACUCCCCUCCUUCUACUCCAUCCUCAUUGCCCCUUCUUUCAAUGGUUCUGACAGGAUCCCCUUCAGCCACAGGCCCUUAGCAAAUGCUGUUCCCAUGGCCCAAGUCAUCUUCCCUGGUUCAUGCCUGCUUCAGGUUCAAGUUACCCCUCGGGAGAAUGUUCCUGAUCAAUCUGAAUUGACCAAGUCCUUAUUACACUCUCAAACUCCAUGAGAUGUCCUUCAUAGCUCUCAUCCCAGUUAUAAUUAGUUUGCAUUUAUUUACACAAUGGCUGUAUUAAUAUCUGUAUUCUCCACCAGAAUGAGAGCUUCAUGAGAGUCAGGACUGUGUGUUUUCUCAAAAUCAGCUUUAUUGUGGUCUAAUUUAUGUAUAAUAAACACACCCAUGUUAGAUGUACCAA